CGUGUAGGCGGACUCGCAAGUCGGUUGUGAAAUCCCUGGGCUUAACCUAGGAACUGCAUCCGAAACUGCUUGUCUUGAGUAAUGGAGAGGGUGGCGGAAUUCCCGGUGUAGAGGUGAAAUUCGUAGAUAUCGGGAGGAACAUCAGUGGCGAAGGCGGCCACCUGGACAUUUACUGACGCUGAGACGCGAAAGCGUGGGGAGCAAACA
rnacentral:rRNA from 1 species